rnacentral:lncRNA from 1 species
CUUUUCACCAGUUUAUAUGGCAAUGUCUGACACUGAGUAUCGUCCCUUCGGGGACAUCCGAUAAAAUUGGAACGAUACAGAGAAGAUUAGCAUGGCCCCUGCGCAAGGAUGACACGCACAAAUCGAGAAAUGGUCCAAAUUUUUUUUCUAAUUGAUUUUCCAGUUUUGUCCGAAUUGUUAGGGUUUCAUUGAGACAUUAUCAAUCAAUUUUGUUUGGUUCUCGAUUUUCAGUUUCACUCACUUUCACCCAUUUCAUUGAGGUUUGGUUUAAAUUGCCACGGUUUUGUCCAGAAAUUAUCCCUUUUUUUUUAUACUUUUUCUGAUAUACAGUUUAAUCAAGAUGUUGAGGUUUUCUGUUGAAUACUUGAGAAUUUGGUUCAUCAGAAUGGUUAAAGCUUUUUGUCGAGAAAUCUGAUAUUUGUUUAUUUAUUUAUUUAUUUUUGUCUGUUGUUCCAUCCAAAUUGUUGAGGUUUUUGUUGAGUAACGAUCCGGUUUUUUGUGUUCGUUUGCAGAUUCAUUCAAAUUGUUGAGGGUUUUGUCGAAUGCUUGUUAGGGUAUUUGGUUGAGUGGCACUAAUGGACCUUCGGGAUUCAGGUACUAUUUCUCUCGUAAUUAUUUGGAUGUGUUCAAUUUAUUUCUUGCUGGCAAAAUGUGGUCCUAAUUCAAGAUUCUUUAGCUUUUAAUAUGUUCAUUACAUUUGAGAUUUUUAUUUUAAAGAUCCAUUGUACAUGUAUUUUGAGGUUAGUGUAUUGUAAUGAAAUUGGUGGCACGCUGGUGGUUGUGGACUGACAGAGCCCUGCAGCUGCGGCGGCAAAAACAAGAACAUCUUUUUAUAAAUUGUGAGUUCUUUGCAUUCAUUUUUUGAUUGAUCAAGUGCAAAAUCAUUUCACACUUUAAUCUGACUAAAAAUUUAUCAUUUUUAGAAAUUAUUAAUGUUCUGAUAGCCUCCUGUACAUGAAGCAAAAAUAGUGCAGAAAACUGAUAAACUGGGCAUGAAGUGGCGUCACAAAGUUGUGCAAUCAUUAAAAAAUGCAACCAAAAACUCAUGAAGUCAAAACCAAGAUGGAAGAUGGAAAACAUUGGUUAAGUGCUGAAUACUUCUAAAGAAUAAAUUAGAUCCUAUAAACGUAACAAUUCACAAAUAGUCAAUUGUGGAUUGAAAUUGUUAAAAAACAAUGGCACAAGUCAUGAAAAAUUAUUGCUAAUAUAUAGAGGGAAUGCAAUGACGGAAAUUGUUAAUGAUUCUUUAUUCUCAUGCUUUGUCCUCUUUGUUCUCAAAUAUUUUGUGCAUCAAUACAUUUCUUUUUUUUUUUUUUUACAAGGUGUCCUAUUCUAGACUAAUCCUUGGGUCUGUGGCAUCAAUACAUUUCUUCAUUUGUGGGCAAAUGGUACGUGGUUCUUUGUUUUCUCUUUCGUUCUUAUCUACAAAGAAACGGGGGCUGGUUCUAUUUCUCGUAAGAAUUCGUAUUCAUUUGCCCAUUACAGUUGCAAAUAUCUUACCUUGUGAUUCAUGAUGCCCCAAAAUCCCACUUAAGGAAUUGAGAUAAUGGAAAUAUAUUCUAGCCCCACAACACCUUUACAACUUAAUAUAAAUGCAUAACAUGUGUGAGAAUCUGUAUGUACAGGGUAAUGCCUUCCCUCGCAUACUAAAUCAGCAAUAUAAACAGCUGCUCUUAUCUUUGAAAAAAAAUAAAAUAUGAAAAAGCAAUUUGACUUAACAGGUAGUAGAAAUGGACCGAAGUUAGAUUUUUUUUCUGUUGAAAACAAAAAUUUAAAUAAAUAAAUUUGUUGCCACUCUGAGAAUUUUAGUUUUAAAUGAGGUGGCCGUGGUUCAGUGUGAUAUCAAAGUUGACAAAACUUUUAGGUUCAAGUCUUGCUGCUAAGCAGACAAAAGUUUUAGACUUUCUAAGCUCUAUAAUUUUUAGGCUAGGGUGAAGUUAGAAAUUAUUAAUGCUAUAUGGUGCUGUAGAGUAUUUUCUUUUGCUAAGCUCUUUGUGAUUUAUCAUUUUCUAAUUUGAAAUAUCGAGAAACUGAAAGCAAAUGUAACACUAGGGCGAAGAAAAUGGUGUCUAGUUUCUAGAUGUAAUUCCUGUCUUGAAAUCUACAGAUUCAAGGAAUUGGGAAAUACAGAUUCAAGGAAUUGGGAAAUCAAGUAAGAGAUUAUUGUGGUUUAGAAUAUACAUUUCAUAGUGUUUACCUGUCAACAAUUGAGUAGCUAUGAAAUAUUAUGUUUUGCAAGAAGUUAAUUAGGCGUACUAACACUGGACGUUGCAAUUUUUAUAUUUCUGCUCUACACUUAAUAGUUUUUGUAAGUUGUAACACAAGAUAGAAGAAUGACAUAUAGAUCCACCAUUCUUAUAGUCAAAUGAAACAUGGUGUACAAGGAGAAUGCUAAAUGUAAUUCCAAAGAUUGGAUUUGGGUAAGUACAACCAGUAUAGAUACUUGCAAAUUGCUGAUGAUAUAUUAACAAGUCGAUUUUACAAUGAUUAUGGAUAAAGAAAUUUUGCUGAAAUUAAGUGCCACAAACGAGUGAGUUGAUCGUGCUACAGUUCUUUUGACAUAACCAAAUUCGCCACUAUUUACACUGGUGCUUUAGAAACCUCUGUGAUCCCUAACCCUAGGUCCUUCACUUCAGCGACAAACAAUUUAAUCAUGGCUCCCAGUCGCCAUGUGGAAACAUUCUUAACCUAACUUUAUCUAAAAAAAACUUACAAGCAGCAACUUUCUCUGGAAAUCUCUAAUAACCCCUAUCUUCGCUGGUACCAAAGCGCUCCUUCACCAGAAUAUCUCAUUGUUCCUUUAAGAACUCCCUCCAAAACUCCAGGCAAAGGAAUCAUUGGUGCCACCUCUGGUUUUGGCUUCUAGCCGAGCUUAAAAUACAAAGAAUGAGUUAACACUUCCCAAUUGUUUCUAAGUUGGCUGUUCAACUCUUUGACAAAGGAUGUCAAUGAUCAAGUUAUACACUGCUCCAGCUCAGGAGACCUUUCAAAGGCAGUUCGAAUGACAAAGACCUUAAUCUGAGUCACUAUGAGGAGGCUGAGUGAAUAUUUCUUCAAGAAUGCACAUUUGUUCUUAGACAGAAUGUAGGGGUUGAAAUAAACUUACAGAUGCCCUCGAGACUUAAGGAUGAAUGUCAUCAAUCUCUGGAUUUUAGUGUGAUGUUUAAUGACCUCGUAGAUACCCUUCUAGAUAUUAUUUAUUUUUAUUUAAAAAAAUAAAAUAAAAUCAGGAUGGGCAUCCUUUUGGAUGAAGUACAUUGUUAAUCCUUCAUACUUAGGGAAUUCUUAAUUUGGGAAUUACCCACUAGGGGUCUUGCUCGACAUUUCAGUAGAGGGGUGAGACCAUAAACUUAGGCGAAGAACAGUUCUUAUUGCCUGGAAAGAGACACGGCCCGAAUUGUCUCUUGGUGCCUUAAUUGUGAAGUGGGUAUGCCUGAGAAACAAAGCAUUGGGUUAUACACUCCACUUCCAAUUCGACAUACUCCUUCGUGUCACCUUUGCUGCUUUGCAUAGACUUUAUACUAGGACUACAUAAAACCGCUAGAAGUCAUGAUUCCGUAUGCAUGGUUGUGGACAAGUUCUCUAAAACCAAAAAGAAAGAAAAGAUAGGCCAGCCGGGAAGUAGGAUAGAAGUUGUACUCUUGUCGCAAAACCUCAUCCCCAUUAAGCCUUGCCUGACUUCCCACCGGGCCAUAGAAAGAGACGAUUUCUUGCUUGCUUAGACAUCGACUAUACAAGACCCAGAAAUCAGAUCCGCUGAACUUAAAUUGUAACUCCACUGGAUCCCGCUUUGCAAAGGAGCAAGAAGCGGACCUAGACAUUGUCACGAUUCCAUUGAAAAAAAAAAUGAUUCCUUUCUCCGGAAGAUGGGAUUGUCUCUUUUUCUAAAACCACUUAUUCCUCCCGUGUAGCCAAAUUGCUUUCCAAGUAAAUUGUUUGCCAUUUUCCCAACAUUUCUGAUCAGGAUGUUAAGUUUGUCGGUUCAUUUUGGAAAAUGUUUGGCACAACUCUCUAAUUGUUUAAUAUUAGAUGUUGGUCUCCUUGCAUUUUGAAUCCAUAUCCUCCAGUUAUUCUUUCACCAAAUAGUGGAUUUUGCUUUGCCGUUGGCUCAAUAACAUCAUUUGACACCCAGUUUACAUUUCAAUCAACUUUAGGUGUUGCCAAACGGAGAUGUACACAACCUUCCUAUUUUCUCUUUCCCCUUUUUCAUCUUACUAGGAAGGGGACACCAUUACCUGAUGGGUGAUCUUGCUUGACGUGCUGUUACAUUUGUAGGAGUGUCUUUUCUGCUGUAUUGACAUGGCAGAUUGAAGCCAGCAUUAAAAAAGUUACACCACAAUUGAAUUUAAAGAUUGUGUGUCAUGGAAAGCAAAGCUUCACGUUAUCUAGGGUAAAUGUUGAAGCAGUAGUAAAAAUUUAUAGAAAUGUUACUUGAAACAAGAGACAAGUGGGAAGUGACUAAAUUACUGAACAUGUUAUGCUUUUCUUUUUAUUUGCUAAUUUACAUGCUUUCAUUGCACGGUGAUCAUGUUGUUGGGAUACUACCAAUGUUUUGCAUGCACUUCAGUCUUGUAGUUCUGUUUAUGCUUGAUCAGUUUGCGGCUUUUCAAGUUAAUGAAGGUGUUUCCAUUAUCUGGAUCCAAUCAUUGAUGCAUUAUUCCGUAUUUCAUAUUUUUGCUUUUCCUAUUUUGAUAAAUAAUGAAUUUGUUCAAUUUUGGCCAAUUAUUGAUACCAUGAUGGAUUUUGAUCCAUGUACAGAUGAUUUAGCUAAAACAUUAAUUGCACUGCAUUUUAAUGCUUGAGUUUCUAGAAAUGAAUAUCAUUCCAUUCAAAUUUGAAUAAAUUGUGUUCUAAUUGUAAUUUCUUGCAGCCAGCAUCUCGACAGGAACGUUGUUACCAAGCUCAUAUGGCCCAAGAUUAGCUAAGGGAGUUGUCGAGAUAGAAAGCCUCAAUUCAUGUCACUAGAAGUAAAGAGAGUAGUGCUUAUGAAAAGUAAGAUGAGGAACCUGAGGUCGGGUGUAACUUGGUCCAACCAAGAACGAAACCAACUCAACUGGCCAAGGUCGAUGAAGUUAUUCCAAUUGUGCUAUUGUACAAGCGAUCAGCUCAUAUAGCGUUUUACGUUUUUAAUUAUUUCUUUACGAAGUUGCCAGUCAACAUGGUAUGCCUCUCACAAUCUGAUUGUUACAUUUUACCCUUGUGCAAGGAUCAUUAGAAAGUUUUACACAAGGAAUCCUAUUUACAUGGUGGAAUUUCUGGUUAGAAACUCAGAUUUAGCCUAUUUUUGGUUCAUGUUUAUAAAUUGUCUAUGAACGCUCAAAUUACUUCUUAUUCAUACAUUUUAAGAGAUUUACAAGUGUGUUAUUCACAUUUUUCAAGGGACUCUCAAGUGUUACUUAUUAACACAGAAAAU